UGACGGGGGCCCGCACAAGCGGUGGAGCAUGUGGUUUAAUUCGAUGCAACGCGAAGAACCUUACCUACUCUUGACAUCCAGAGAACUUUCCAGAGAUGGAUUGGUGCCUUCGGGAACUCUGAGACAGGUGCUGCAUGGCUGUCGUCAGCUCGUGUUGUGAAAUGUUGGGUUAAGUCCCGCAACGAGCGCAACCCUUAUCCUUGUUUGCCAGCGAGUAAUGUCGGGAACUCCAGGGAGACUGCCGGUGAUAAACCGGAGGAAGGUGGGGACGACGUCAAGUCAUCAUGGCCCUUACGAGUAGGGCUACACACGUGCUACAAUGGCGCAUACAGAGGGCAGCCAACUUGCGAAAGUGAGCGAAUCCCAAAAAGUGCGUCGUAGUCCGGAUUGGAGUCUGCAACUCGACUCCAUGAAGUCGGAAUCGCUAGUAAUCGUGGAUCAGAAUGCCACGGUGAAUACGUUCCCGGGCCUUGUACACACCGCCCGUCACACCA
rnacentral:rRNA from 1 species